AGUUAGUCCUUUGUCCUCCAUGGAAAAGUUUCUGGGAACCUGAUGUCAAAUGUCACCUGUGCAUACUUCCCUGAGAAGUGGAAUCUGGCUGCAGUGCAACACCAAGAGAAGCAUCUGUAGGUAUCUGGAUCCUCCCUUGUCAGCAGCUCUAAGCUUGACUUGCAAUGGCUGCCUGCCUCAGUUUGCCUACCAUAUGGAUGCCCAAGUUGGUCUGUGGCAACAGAGGACAAUGAAACAACAUCAACAUAGAACUUUCCACAAUGGAAACUUCUUAAUGACUGAAGAAGGUGCCGGUCAUGCUAUUUCAAUGUUCCGUUCUAGUUCCCUGUUAACCAUAGCAGAAGAGAUUAUUACAAGAAACAAUUUCAGUUUUUUAUUUAACUUCAUUGUUACAAAUAGUUUCACUCACUGUAAUUAUUUUAUGUUAUGUAUUACAUAUUCUUAUCUAUUUUAAUGAAUGUUAUUAAAUUAUG